GAUGAACGCUGGCGGCGUGCCUAAUACAUGCAAGUCGAGCGAAAAGACGAGGAGCUUGCUCUUUUGAGGUUAGCGGCGGACGGGUGAGUAACACGUGGAUAACCUUCUUAUAUGACUGGGAUAAUUUCGGGAAAACGGUGAUAAUAAUGGAUAAUAUAUUGUACCGCUUGGAUCAAUAGAGCUAGACGGUUUUGCUGUCACAUAUAGACGGUUCCGCGCCGCAUUAGCUAGUUGGUAAGGUAACGGCUUACCAAGGCAACGAUGCGUAGCCGACCUGAGAGGGUGAUCAGCCACACUGGAACUGAGACACGGUCCAGACUCCUACGGGAGGCAGCAGUAGGGAAUCUUCCGCAAUGGGCGAAAGCCUGACGGAGCAACACCGCGUGAGUGAUGAAGGUCUUCGGAUCGUAAAGCUCUGUUAUUAGGAAAGAACAAAUGUGUAAUAAACUAUGCACGUCUUGACGGUACCUAAUCAAAAAGCCACGGCUAACUACGUG
rnacentral:rRNA from 1 species